rnacentral:sRNA from 1 species
CAGGACAAACUCUACAAACUGAGAUGUGGAAGGAAGGAAACAGAAUUCAUUUUCAAACCAAGGUCCAAGAAACUGGAGACAUUGUCAUUUCAAAUGCAUAUGUGGAUCUUGCACCAACAUCUGAUGCUUCAGCUAAGACACCCUCUGAGGGCGGGAAGCUUCAGAGUACCCUCGUAUUUGAGGAAAUAGGACGCCGCUUAAAGGAUAUUGGGCCUGAGGUGGUGAAGAAAGUAAAUGCUGUAUUUGAAUGGCAUAUAACCAAAGGUGGAAAUAUUGGGGCUAAGUGGACUAUUGACCUGAAAAGUGGUUCUGGAAAAGUGUACCAAGGCCCUGCAAAAGGUGCUGCUGAUACAACAAUCAUACUUUCAGAUGAAGAUUUCAUGGAGGUGGUCCUGGGCAAGCUUGACCCUCAGAAGGCAUUCUUUAGUGGCAGACUGAAGGCCAGAGGGAACAUCAUGCUGAGCCAGAAACUUCAGAUGAUUCUUAAAGACUAUGCCAAGCUCUGAAGGGCACACUACACUAUUAAUAAAAAUGGAAUCAUUAAAUACUCUCUUCACCCAAAUAUGCUUGAUUAUUCUGCAAAAGUGAUUAGAACUAAGAUGCAGGGGAAAUUGGUUAACAUUUUCAGAUAUCAGAUAACUGCAGAUUUCCAUUUUCUACUAAUUUUUCAUGUAUCAUUAUUUUUACAAGGAACUAUAUAUAAGCUAGCAUAUAAUUAUCCUUCUGUUCGUAGAUCUGUAUCUUCAUAAUAAAAAAAUUUUGCCCAAGUCCUAUUUCCUUAGAAUCUGUGAUAGCAUUGAUAAGUUGAAAGGAAAAUUAAAUCAAUAAAGGCCUUUGAUACCUU